rnacentral:snoRNA from 1 species
CUCAUCUGGGCUGGUUUUUAUUUGUAUGCCUGAUUUCCUUUCGGAUAGUGAAGGCAUCUUUAGUCACUACCUCUUCUGAGACAC